rnacentral:rRNA from 1 species
GAGAUGAGAAUGUGCCUUCGGGAACCGUGAGACAGGUGCUGCAUGGCUGUCGUCAGCUCGUGUUGUGAAAUGUUGGGUUAAGUCCCGCAACGAGCGCAACCCUUAUCCUUUGUUGCCAGCGGUUAGGCCGGGAACUCAAAGGAGACUGCCAGUGAUAAACUGGAGGAAGGUGGGGAUGACGUCAAGUCAUCAUGGCCCUUACGACCAGGGCUACACACGUGCUACAAUGGCGCAUACAAAGAGAGGCGACCUCGCGAGAGCAAGCGGACCUCAUAAAGUGCGUCGUAGUCCGGAUUGGAGUCUGCAACUCGACUCCAUGAAGUCGGAAUCGCUAGUAAUCGUGGAUCAGAAUGCCACGGUGAAUACGUUCCCGGGCCUUGUACACACCGCCCGUCACACCAUGGGAGUGGGUUGCAAAAGAAGUAGGUAGCUUAACCUUCGGGAGGGCGCUUACCACUUUGUGAUUCAUGACUGGGGUGAAGUCGUAACAAGGUAACCGUAGGGGAACCUGCGGUUGGAUCACCUCCUUACCUUAAAGAA